UAAGAUGGUUAACAUCAUGGAAACCAAAAUAGAGGGUUUUAUGCCCAGAACUGCAGCUGCAACUUAAAAGGAAUGAAGCUGGAUUGAAAAAACACUUCUGCAGUCCACAGAGACCAGGCUGAGUGCACAUCAGACAGGUUUUACGGAAGAGCGAGAUUCUGCUCUGACUUGCACCAGCAACCGGCCUCAGCAUCCCAUCAGCCUCUGGGUACAGGAAGCCCAACUGGCUGCUCUGACCAAAACCAGGGACUUCAUCGAACCUGUGAAGUCUUGGGGCAAACAUGCAACAAAAAUGAAGAAACUCAUCUCAUGAAGUUUAGUGUCUCCACUUGCUGUCCUACAUGUAAGUGUAAAGCAUCCUACAGGGCUACCAGGUAUAACCAUUCCCUCUGACUGACAAGGAAAUGACAUCCCUACCCCCGUCACCAGGUAACACAGGUCCUCAGUGGCUCCACCACAAGGAGUUCAAUUCACGCACAGUGCACAUGAAAUACCCAUCUUCCACAUUUGCAAAGGAUCAGAGAUAGCCAGUUUUUCCAGAGCUUUAAGAGCACUUUGCUCUCUGAAUACUCAAAAUCCAGUCCUGGCGGUCCAACCUGCAAUUACAGUCAAACCUAAAAUAGCACCACGGCAGUGCCAGCACCACUCAUCUCCACAUCAUGUCCUGAGACUCAUCACACCAGGGUGUGGCAACAGCAUGCAGCAAACGAGUUCCCUGGGCACUCCCAGCCCACUUCCUCGACACACCUGGUCACACACCACUCCCCACUCUCUUCCAAAAUAGAAAUUUUUUGGUAGAGCCAGUAUACCAGUGUAUUUUCCUCUUCUUCCCGCUUUAAGAAAUCCUUUUAGGGAAGAAGAAGGUGCCUGAGGUGCUCAGGUGACACAUCCACUCCCCUGCAUGGCACACUGUGAUGUAGGUUUAUGCACAAGGAGAACUUCCAGCACUGGUAGGAUUCCUCUAGCACAUCAUUGCACAAGGGGACACAUCUCCUCCAAAGCUCCAGCUGCCAAGUUUCACUGGGAAGCCACUAAUGCACAUUUGCUCUCCAGAAGGUAUUCAGUGAUGCCUGUGGGAGCAGCAGCUGCUGCCUUCCAGGUGACAAGGGAGCAGAGAGGGUAAAUUCAGGAGUCAUCUUUCACUACAAACCCUCAAGAACAGACCCUUUGGCAAAGUUCUGGGGGAGGAAGGGAGCUCAUCCAGUGUGCUGGCCUGGCCUUUGGCUACGGCAGGCUGUGCAGCCCCACUGCUCUCCCCAGUGAGUCCAGAAGAGGACAACCAUCUGCUUCUGGACACCAAGUUUUCCUGCCCACUCCAGAAGUAGUAUUUUCCUCACUAAUGCCAAGAGAUACCAUGCUAAUGUUGGAAGUUGUUUAAAAUAACUGAUAAAAUCCAUGGUGAUGAACAAGUUCCUGGGCAUGCUA